rnacentral:rRNA from 1 species
CCUACGGGGGGCUGCAGUGGGGAAUAUUGGACAAUGGGCGCAAGCCUGAUCCAGCAAUACCGCGUGAAUGAUGAAGGUCUUCGGAUUGUAAAGUUCUUUUAGUAGGGAAGAUAAUGACGGUACCUACAGAAAAAGCACCGGCUAACUUCGUGCCAGCAGCCGCGGUAAUACGAAGGGUGCUAGCGUUGUUCGGAAUCAUUGGGCGUAAAGCGUAUGUAGGCGGUUUGGUAAGUCGGUUGUGAAAUCCCCAGGCUCAACUUGGGAAUUGCAAUCGAAACUGCCUUGCUUGAAUUUGGUGGGGGAUAGUGGAAUUCUUAGUGUAGGGGUGAAAUCCGUAGAUAUUAAGAGGAACACCGGAGGCGAAAGCGACUAUCUACACCAACAUUGACGCUGAGAUACGAAAGCGUGGGGAGCAAACAGGAUUAGAUACCCUUGUAGUC